AUUGAACGCUGGCGGCAUGCCUUACACAUGCAAGUCGAACGGUAACAGGUCUUCGGAUGCUGACGAGUGGCGAACGGGUGAGUAAUACAUCGGAACGUGCCUGGUAGUGGGGGAUAACUACUCGAAAGAGUGGCUAAUACCGCAUGAGAUCUACGGAUGAAAGCAGGGGAUCGCAAGACCUUGUGCUACUAGAGCGGCCGAUGGCAGAUUCGGUAGUUGGUGGGAUAAAAGCUUACCAAGCCGACGAUCUGUAGCUGGCCUGAGAGGACGAUCAGCCACACUGAGACUGAGACACGGCCCAGACUCCUCCGGGAGGCAGCAGUGGGGAAUUUUGAACAAUGGGCGCAAGCCUGAUCCAGCAAUGCCGCGUGCAGGAUGAAGGCCUUCGGGUUGUAAACUGCUUUUGUACGGAACGAAAAGCCCUGGGUUAAUACCUGGGGCUCAUGACGGUACCGUAAGAAUAAGCACCGGCUAACUACGUGCCAGCCGCCGCCGUAAGAC
rnacentral:rRNA from 1 species